GAACCGAACCAAUUUUUUUAAAUCAUUUUUUUAUAGCCAGCCAUUAAAGUAUCCUUUUAUGAUUUUUGCAAAGUAUUUUUUUACAAUUUAAAUUAUUAACUUUGGGAAUAUUAUUUUAACCUACAAAUAACUUUCGAUAGAUGUUCUUAAUGCUUUUCAAGAAUACAAACAUCUAGCUGGUAAGUGUGGGGGAAUGCAGCGACCUCAAAUUUAAAUCAUUAAAUUUGUCCAUUUUUCGAUCCUCACCACAGUUCUGACCAUGCGCGUUUACGCAAGCAUAAAUAAUUUUACCCGUCGACUCGCGUUGCGCGACAAAUAAUUAAGCUUAUGUACAGGUGUGGAUCAUGAGUCAUCCUCACCUGAAAAGCCCUUUAUUAAAUUUCGCCAAUUGUUAGGCAAUCAAAAAAAUGGUUAAGCUUUCAAUUAUGAAUGUGCGAUGUUAUUACACAGGGGAAAUUGAGGGUGUGGCUUAACCAAAUUCAUUGGCAUGUUUGUUCAAUGGAGAAUUCGACCUUCUCAUUAUUGACCAACAUUUUGGAGAAUGUUUUAGGAACAUAAUUUUGAUAUUCCAAUAACAUAAUUUAAAGUUUCACGACAAUGGUUCGAACCCAUGACUUCCGAUUUUGAGGUGUACUCACUACACCAUACGGAAAGUCAUGAAGAAUUGCAGAGGUCUGCAUAAUUUAAUUCAUGAGGUUCAUCGAUGCUUCUCAUCGAAACGGACCACUUUUAGUAGAACAAAAUUUAGUAGAGUUUUCGGGGACUGACUAUAAAAACCCCAAAAUUCUUGAGGAGGGCAGUUAGUUCCAGUUAGUUCCAGUUAGUUCCAGUUAGUUCCAGUCAGUUCCAGCCAGUUCAAGUCCAGUCCAGUUCCAGAUCCUGAAGAAGCCCCAGACCAGCCGGACCCGCCAGCAGCCACCAGUAGCGGAGGCCCCAGUCCAGCCGGACUUAGCGGUGGAGGCCGCAGUCCGCCGGGACUUAGCCGCUGUGAAGAGUCCGCCGGGACUUAGCAGCCGUGAAGAGUCCACCCGGGACUUAGGAGUUCGGGUCUGGCAUGGUUCGGCGAAGAGGUCUGGAGGACAAGUCUGGCUUCAACGUAGAGAAUUGGCUCGACGAAGGUCUUAAUGAAAUUAGCAACAAAUAGUUGAGUGAUAUGAUCGUGCGCGUAAAAGUUGAGAGUGUUACCGCAAAAAUGUAAUCUUUAAAAAGUGUAAUAUACAAAUAAGUGAAGUUUACUGAUCUGUUUUGACUCUACAAGUAAAUAUCACAAAAAUCCUGAAAGCCUAAACCGCUCGGGCCGUUCAGGUGGUGACUAGCGGAAAGCAACGCUGUGUGUGUUUGGACACGCCAUUUUGAUUGGACAAAACCGAGAGUUGAAAAUGUGACUAUGUGUGAAAAUUAAUGAACAAAAUGAUUUCGCGAAGUAACAAACAGUUAAAAUAGUGUAAAAAAAAAACGUUAAAUUGAAGAAAAUGUUAUGUGAGAAGUUCUAAGAUGGAAGCAAAUAUGCAGCAGUACGAGAUGGAACCAAAACGGGCUCGACCAAUGGCAGAAGCAUCGAAAAUUUCAAAACCGGCCAACGAUGGACAACACUAGGGAUUCAACAAUGACGAGAUCAUCUGGAUCAACUGGAGACGAAAUUCGGCCGCAUCGGACACCCAAGAAGACGACCAUGGAAAUCUGGCAGUUUAGGAAUGUUAUAUGCUUAUACGAAGGAUUUACAGGAAACCAUUGGAAGACGAUCAAGAAGACAACAAUAUCAGCAAGGACGCUUGCAAAGACGAAUAUGGACUACAGCUCAAGAAAGGGUAAAAUUUGUGAGUACAUCGUGAGGAAUCUAAAAAGAUCGGAAAGGAUGGUAAAAGUUCCGAUCUAGGGAUACAUAAACUGAUAAAGCAACGCCAAAGGGAUUAAAAAGUAGACAAUUGUACUCUAUGGGGAGAGUUUUAUGUCGAAUAUAGCUUCAAAACAGUUGUAAUCCAUGGGGGGAUUCAAUAUGUUAAAAACAUUUCAAAACAUUUGCACUUUACGGGGUUAGUCAAAUGAUAAUUAAAGGGAAUGGAUAAAUAAUGCUUCAAGGGAAAAUCAAGGGAUAAAUAAUGCUUCAAGGGAAAAACAACUUUAAACUGAUAAAAUUCAGUGGGAAAAAAUCAGAAAAUUUCUACAUAGAUUAUUGAACCAAAUACUUUCGUGCUAAUUCAGAUUAUUUACGAAUUGCCCAAAUAAACGAAUUAAUUUAAUUGGUUUGACAAAUUUGAAAACACAAAGUGAUGUACAGAUUUCAUAAAAAGUUGGAAGAACAGAAAGGAUAUUUCAACAUGCGCAGUUUUGCAAUGAUAAGAUGAUAGGAUGUAUAGAUCAAUGAAAAACUUUAUAGAGUAAUUAUUUUUAUUCAAGUAUAAAAAUAAUAGUUGAUUAGAACUGAUUUUUUUUUAGUAUUAAAAAUAAUAGAACUGAUUUCAUAUAAAAAUAUCAACAAGAUUUAUAAGAUUGUAAGUAAAUUUGAAUCUCAAUUUUGCACAGAAAUUAAAUGAUAGAUUCUUGAAAAUUAUAAAAUAUUGUUCAUGCGAAGAAAACAAGUAAGAAAUUUUUGUGGUAGAAACAAAACUAAAAACUGAAGUAAAAUAUGGCAGAGACGGGAGACGAAACACAAGGAUGAUCGACGCGUUCGUAUGCUGAGAAGUUCUACGCGUUCGUAUGCAGAAGUUUGUGAUGGCAAGAUGGUGAGUGGCAAAGUCAUGCGGGAGGUUGAACAGGUAACGGUGUUGAUGUUGUUGCAAAAAGGUCAUACCAACGAGGAUCGAGUCGGAUUAAGACGCAAUUCUAGUAACGAGACAUUCACGUAAAACAAAUUACCAACCGAAGUACAGAUGAUUGAAAUGCGAAACAUCAAUUAUGGAACAAAAAAAAAGUUGAGAUCAUACUGCACGUCUGAAACUAUGGAAAAGGAGAAGUUCAAGAUAAACAAAUGAUAACAUCAUCCGAUGUCAUUAAUUCACAAAAACCAAAGUUGCAAAUUACACGAAAAGACAAUUUUGGACAAACAACAUUUCCUAAACAUUUGAAAAAAGAAUUACAUCAACCGAUGUCAAUAUUUUGAGAUUGUCAAAGAUACAAAGCAACUGGAAAAGUCAAUUGAAAAAAAAAAUACUGGAUUUACAAACAAUUCACAAUACUCAGCAAGUGAGAAGUCAAUGCACUCUCAAAAUUGACCACAAUCAACUCACAGUUGGGUUAUGAAGCAUAAUUCAUGAUGGAAACGACAAUUGCACUAAUCGACGAAAUUCAACACCUUAGCCUCGAAAACUGACCAAUUGACCAAGUCACUGUGGAAUGAAUAGCCUCACGAUAGAGACGAUUUUGAUGGAAGACGACGACGAUAACAACCAGCCGAUCAACACAGUUCUACAACAGAUUUUGCUUACAGUGGGAAAAAUGCAAUGAUUUUUUUUUUAGGAGAUAUAAUGAAAAUUAAUUUCAAAUGCAAGUUUAUUUAAAUCAGUUUCAAUGAAAAUAUUUUUACAAGAGAAGUUCAAAACAAUAAUUCAAGUAAUUUAACAGGACAGAAGAGUAAUGAAAAUAAUUUUACAGUAGAAAAAUCAAAAGAACAAUUAUAAUAAUAAAGCAAUUUACAAGAAAGCACAAGAAGAACAAAUUGUAAACCGCACGAUCACUACACCCGAAUAUAUUCUUUCCAUAGAUGAUCAUUUCUUUCAGACGAUCAUCUAGCUGAUAAGUGUGGGGGAGAUGAACCGAACCAAUUUUUUUAAAUCAUUUUUUUAUAGCCAGCCAUUAAAGUAUCCUUUUAUGAUUUUUGCAAAGUAUUUUUUUACAAUUUAAAUUAUUAACUUUGGGAAUAUUAUUUUAACCUACAAAUAACUUUCGAUAGAUGUUCUUAAUGCUUUUCAAGAAUACAAACAUCUAGCUGGUAAGUGUGGGGGAAUGCAGCGACCUCAAAUUUAAAUCAUUAAAUUUGUCCAUUUUUCGAUCCUCACCACAGUUCUGACCAUGCGCGUUUACGCAAGCAUAAAUAAUUUUACCCGUCGACUCGCGUUGCGCGACAAAUAAUUAAGCUUAUGUACAGGUGUGGAUCAUGAGUCAUCCUCACCUGAAAAGCCCUUUAUUAAA